rnacentral:rRNA from 1 species
CACGUAGUUAGCCGGGGCUUCUUAGUCAGGUACCGUCUUUUUUCUUCCCUGCUGAUAGAGCUUUACAUACCGAAAUACUUCUUCACUCACGCGGCGUCGCUGCAUCAGGGUUUCCCCCAUUGUGCAAUAUUCCCCACUGCUGCCUCCCGUAGGAGUUUGGGCCGUGUCUCAGUCCCAAUGUGGCCGUUCACCCUCUCAGGCCGGCUACUGAUCGUCGCCUUGGUAGGCCGUUACCCCACCAACCAGCUAAUCAGACGCGGGCUCAUCUUAUACUACCGGAGUUUUUCACACAGAAACAUGCGUUCCCGUGCGCUUAUGCGGUAUUAGCAGUCAUUUCUAACUGUUAUCCCCCUGUAUAAGGCAGAUUACCCACGUGUUACUCACCCGUCCGCCGCUAAGUCAAUUUCGAUUCCAUCCGAAAACUUCCUCAAAAUCGCUUCGCUCGACUUGCAUGUGUUAGGCACGCCGCCAGCGUUCAUCCUGAGCCAGGAUCAAACUCU